rnacentral:lncRNA from 1 species
AUGCAACCGGGAAUGUGCCGCCCCGAGGGGUCCCCGGAGCGCGAGGGACGACCCGCGGCGUGCAGCCGGCGGAUGAUGGCGACGGGAGCGGGGACGUCUCCGGCUGGGAGUCGGUGUGUGCUCCUCUUCCUCCUGCUCCUCGGCAGCUGCUGCCACAUGUUGCACGGCCAAGAGGUGGCCCCCUACCUGCAAGGCACUGGACUGGGGCAGCAGGUGGUGUUGGAGGGAAACAGACUGGUGUUGACCUGCCUGGCUGGAGGCAGCUGGCCUCUGCAGUACCGCUGGACUCUGAGGAACAGCAACAUCACCGACUGGACGCCGCAGUACAGGUUGUCCAUCCCGUCUGUGAAGAGGACCGAUGCUGGCCUGUAUCAGUGUUUGGUUAGGAACAGGAUGGGAGCAGUAAUACACAGGAGAACAGAGGUGCAGGUGGCCUUUUUGGGGAACUUCUCCACUGAGGAGCAGAGGAAGACAGUGAGCCAGGGCAGAGCCGCAGUCAUCAGCCCGCCCGCCAUCGCCUCCUUCCCCCAGCCUGUAGCCACGUGGUUCAAAGAUGGGCACAAGGUCGUCCCCGGCAACCGAAUAGCAAUUACUUUGGACAAUCAGCUGGUCGUCCUGGCAACCACCGCAUCGGACGCGGGGCGUUACCACGUGGAGGCGGUGAACGAGAUGACAGGGGAGAACGCGACGGGCCCCGCCAUCUACCUGAUGGAUGCCAAUGUGGGUGGACCCGCGUCUGAACUUCUGGCUCCAGCAAUUGUGAUUGGACCCAAAGACACCACAGUGGUGGCAGGAACGGAGGUCACAUUAGAGUGCAUCGCUAACGCGAGGCCGCUUGACGGCUUGGUGGUGUCAUGGAAACGGGACGGGCGUUGGCUGGCCGGUGGGCGUCGGCUCAUUAUUCCCUCCCCCACCUCUUCUGACUCCGGGUUAUAUGUUUGUGAGGCGUUGCUUAGCAACAGCACUGCCAAACCUGCGGAGGCAAGGGCACACAUCACCGUAAUGGAACCGCCCGCUCUGACUGCAGAACCCAAGACGAAGAUCCUCGCGGAGCUCGACAAGAAUGUAGACAUCCCGUGUGUUGCUACAGGCGUGCCCCAGCCCAGGGUGGAGUGGUAUAAGGACGCUGUGCCUCUCUCCAAACUGGCCAACCCCCGCUACAAGGUCACCGCCGCGGCCGGGCUGACGGUGCGCAGGGUGCAGCCGGGGGACGGGGGCAUAUUCCAGUGCAUCGCCCGCAGCGCUGCCGGAGAGAGCCAGGCGCACACGCAGCUCCUCGUCUCCAGUGUGGCCCCUACAUUUACAUCCCCCCCAUCUGACCGAACAGUAACUGAUGGAAACACAGCCCUGUUUAGCUGCCAGACGAGCGGCGCCCCAAAGCCUGCCAUCACCUGGAGGAAAGGAUUGCUGGUCUUAGCCAGCGGCUCCGUCCAGGUUCCCAGGUUCACGCUGUUGCAGACGGGCGGUUUGCAGAUUCAGCCAGUCAGCUUCCAGGAUUCAGGAGAAUACACCUGCAUCGCCUCCAACUCAGAGGGAACCAUCAAUACCACAGCUACACUCACUGUGUGGAGUCGUACAGUCAUUUCUGUGCCUCCAACGGAUCAGCGAGUUAUCAAAGGAACCACCGCUACUCUGAUCUGCAACGCUACGCGUGACCCCCGAGUCGAUAUCAGGUGCUUCUGGUGGGACCGCGGUGGCGUCCCCGUGCUUCCAACCAGCGGGGGCCGUGUUUCUGUGCGUCAGGGCUCCCUCACUAUCGGUCAGACGUGGUCAGGUGACAUCGGGGACUACACCUGCACGGUGACAUCACAGGCCGGCAACGACUCUCGCUCUGCGCGCCUUGAAGUCAUAGAGCUGCCACACUCCCCUCGCUCCCUGACGGCCCACCUCAACGACUCCGAUUCCCGCUCCGUCCUCCUGUCCUGGCUGCGACCCUUCGACGGGAACUCCCCUCUCCUUCACUACGUGCUGGAGCUGUCUGAGAACAACUCCCCAUGGAAGGUCUACUUACCAGAGGUGGAUCCAGCUGUGACCAAUGUGUCGGUGGGCGGGCUCACGCCGGCCCGGACCUAUCAGUUCAGGCUCUGUGCUGUCAAUCAGGUGGGCCGGGGUCAGUACAGCUCAGAGACUCAGAGAUUAAUGCUGCGAGAGGAGGCGCCGAGUGCUCCUCCGAAGAAUAUCGUGGCCAGUGGGCGGACGAACCAGUCCAUCAUGGUCCAGUGGCAGCCUCCGCCGGAACCGCAGCUCAACGGAGUCCUGCGAGGAUACGUACUCAGGUACCGUCUUGCAGGGCUGCCAGGAGACUACCAGGAGAAAAACAUCAGCAGCCCAGAGACUAACUACUGUCUGCUGAAGGACCUGAUCAUCUGGACCCAAUACCAGAUCCAGGUGGCGGCCUACACCGGAGCGGGCCUGGGCGUCUACAGCAGCCCUGUCACAGAGUACACUCUGCAGGGAGUUCCCACAGCUCCUCCGCAGGAAGUGGAAGUUGUAGCUAUCAACUCGACAACCAUCCGCUUCACAUGGAACCCUCCACCUCAGCAGUUUAUUAAUGGCAUCAAUCAAGGCUACAAGCUGCUGGUGUGGCCGGAGCAGUCUCCAGAGGACGUCACCGUGGUGACCAUCACCCCCGACUACCCCGGCUCGCGGCACACGGGCUUGGUCAGCGGUCUCAGGAAGUUCACCUGGUACUUUGGCUCCACCCUCUGCUUCACGACGCCUGGGGACGGACCCCGCAGCCCCCCCACGCUGCUGCAGACGCACGAGGACGCUCCUGGACCUGUUCGGGACCUCAGCUUCACUGAAAUCUUGGACACCUCCCUUCGAGUCAGCUGGUCGGAGCCUGAAGACAAGAAUGGCAUCAUCACUGGCUACGUGCUGUGGUGGGACGUUCCUGAUGUGGAGUCGAGUCGUGAGGAACGCUCCCUGUCCAACUCCACUCUGCGGUACCAGGUGACCGGCCUCACCUCCACCACCGCCUACAAACUGCAAGUGGCGGCGCUCACCGCCGCAGGACGGGGCGUGGUCACGUCCUCCACCAUCUCCACCGGCGUCCCACCAGAACUUCCAGGCGCUCCCUAUAAUUUAGUCAUCUCCAACAUCAGCCCUCGGACAGCGACGCUUCGAUUCCACCCCGGCCCGGACGGAAAGACAGCGAUCUCACGGUGGAUCGUAGAGGGACAGGUGUGUGAGCGUGGAAAGGAGGAGCCCUGGAGAGUUGUGUAUCAGAAAGACAAUCAGCCAGACGCUGACACGCUGGAGAUCCCUAACCUCACCCCAUUCACUCAGUACCGGUUCAGGAUGCAGCAGGUGAACGUUGUGGGUCCCAGUCCUGUGAGCGCCCCCUCCAGGACGAUUCAGACACUACAGGCAGCCCCGGACACGCACCCCUCCAACCUCACGCUGCUGUCCGCCACACAGACCAGCCUGCGCCUCAGCUGGAAGCCUCUUCAAAGGUCUGAGUACCACAGCAGCCCGGACACGGUGGGCUACCGGCUGCGCGUGUGGAGGACAGACGGGCAGGGGGACGACAGGACCGAGGACGUGGACGGAGCAGCGGAGUCCAGCGAGGACGCCGUGGAGGGUCUUAGUCCCUGGACCCAGUACCAGCUUCAGAUACAGGCCUACAACUCCAUCGGACCCGGACCCUGGAGCGGCACUGUCGCUGCACGCACUGCAGAAUCUGUUCCAUCUGGAUCACCGGUGAAUGUGACUGCUGAGGCGAUGAGUUCCACCAGGAUCCUGCUCACGUGGUCCCCGGUCCCUCAGGCCCAGAAGAAUGGCGUCAUCCUGGGAUAUAAGGUGUUGUACAACGAGAAAGACUCGGAGGGUCCCCCCAGAGUUCGCGACGCACAAGGAGAGGGCAGCUCCUCCGUGCUCCUCGAGGGUCUCCAGAAGUACACGGCGUAUGUGCUGCAGGUGCUGGCACACACGCGGAUGGGCGACGGCCCUCCCAGCAGCGCCAUCCUGCUCUGGACCAGAGAGGACGUCCCAGGCCCCCCUGUCAGGAUGGUGUUCCCAGAGGUUCGAUUGUCAUCAGUCAGGGUGGUUUGGCAGCCACCCACGAAGCCCAAUGGCAACAUACUGGGCUACCAGAUCUCCUACCGCCUCGACAGCAGGGACCCUCUGCGUUGGACCACAGUGGAGGUGGGCUCCACUGGUCGCCAGUUCACCGUCACAGGGCUCUCCCCUGAGCAGAGCUACGUGUUCCGACUCACCGCCCGCACCGCCGUGGGCUGGGGCGACGCGCAGGAGGCGGUGGUCGUCACCACGGAACGCCGAGAGCGUCCGCAGCCGCCCAGGAAGCUGUCGGUUCCUCAGGACGGCGUUGAGUCUCGCCACCUGCUCCUCCACUGGGUGACGGGCGGCUCGGGCUCCUCCCCCCUGCGCUACCUCACCCUGCAGGUCAAGGAGCUGCCGAGCGGCGAGUGGAGCGUGCACGCCGCCGAUAUCCCACACAACGCGACCGCCUGGACCGUGGACCGGCUGAAGCCCUUCACAUCUUACAAGUUCCGUCUGCUGGCAACCAACGACAUAGGAGACAGCCUCCUCAGCAAAGAGACAGAGCCCGUUACAACUCUGCAGGAUGUGCCUGAUGAACCUCCAGUGAUCCUCGCAGUGAAGCCUACAACUACUACCUCAGUCCUGGUGCAGUGGAAGCGGCCCAGUGACGACAGCACCAACGGAGUUCUGACUGGAUACCGGCUCUAUUACCGAGAGCUUCCAGCAAACGGCUCCAGCUCCACCCAAGCAGAAGCACAGGCAACGAAAAGCAACACCACCACGAGCGCCGUCAUCACCAGUGAGUUCUGCCAGUCAGUAAACCUGAAGAAGUUCCGACGUUACCAGAUUGUGAUGACGAGCUACAACAUCAUCGGGGAGAGUCCGCCCUCGGCGCCGGUGGAGGUCUCUGUCGGAGAGGCAGCUCCGUCCGUGGCCCCUCAGUCGAUCAGAGUGUCAGCCGUGUCUCCCUCAGUCCUGGAAGUGACCUGGGCCUCACCGCCCAUCGAGACCCAGAACGGACUCAUCCAAGGAUACAAGAUCCACUACUGGGAGAAGGACAAACAGAACCAGACUGAGAAGGUGAAGGUGAUCUUCGUCCCGGACACUCGCGUGCAUCUCACCAACCUGAGCAGCUUCACGCCUUUCCUGGUCACGCUGAGCGCCUUCAACACGGCUGGAGACGGACCCCCCAGCGAGCCCCGUGGAGCCAAGACCAUGCAGUCCGCUCCCAGCCAGCCCAGCUACCUGUCCUUCACGGAGGUGACAGGCGUGAGCGCCAACGUGUCCUGGGGAGCUCCGCUCGCUCCCAACGGGCAGCUGGAGGGCUACAGGGUCAUCUACCAGCCCACGGCGCCCGUGCAAGGCGUGAGUAAAGUGGUGACGGUGGACGUGAAGGGGAGCUGGCAGCGGUCGCUGAAGGUCCGGGACCUGGUGAGAGGAGCGACGUACAUGUUCAGUGUUCAGGCCCUCACAGUCAGCUACGGACCCCCGUUACAGGCCAACCUGACUGCUCACCCUGUGCAAGGCUCUCCGGGUUCACCUGUGGACAUGUCCAUAACCAAGACGUCCUCUGAGCUGAACAUCCACUGGUCUGAGGGCGACAGCGGCGCAGCCCCUGUGAGCGGAUACGUGGUAGAAGCUCGUCCCUCGGAUGAAGGCCUGUGGGAAUCCUUCAGCCGACCCCUCCCCGCCAGCAGCAGGUCCAUUUCAGUGCCACUGGAGCGCCUGAGGUCAGGGAUCAGCUACGAGUUCCGGGUCGUUGCUGUUAAUCGCUAUGGUUACGGGGAGCCCAGUACACCCUCAGCUUCGCUCGCUGCGCUGUCGGAGCGCCCGUUCUACGAGGAGUGGUGGUUCCUGCUGGUCAUGGCUCUGGUGGGGCUCAUCCUCAUUCUGGUCCUGGUCUUCACACUGCUGCUGCACGGACACAGCACCAAGUACAAGAACAGAUCCCAUGGGACAAAGGCUAACUCACUGACUCACAUAGAGUCUGUAACUCUGGACAAUGGCGGAUUCACAGCGCUGGAGCUCAACAGCAGAACACUCAACACCAAGAACUCCUUCCUGAAGAAGAAUGGCACCAGGUCUCCUCCCAGGCCGAGUCCAGGCGGUCUUCACUACUCUGACGAGGACAUCUGUAACAACUACAACGGAGCCGUCCUCACAGAGAGCACCACACUGACUGAGAAGCAGACGGAGGUCUCUGAGUCUGAGCUCACAGACAGCGACUAUGAGGACGAGCAGCCAAAGCACUCCUUCGUCAACCACUACAUGAGCGACCCCACCUACUACAACUCCUGGAAGCGGCAGCCCAAAGGCCUUAAAGCCAUCGGCACUUCGUUCGGCUACGAGGAAUGUGCCACUGCAGACUCGGAGCCCUACUACCAGACCGUGGUCACCCAGCACAACACAGUGGGCACAUACACACCCACGGGGCAGCCUGUGCACACGCACGUCAACCCCAACACCAACCCGCCGGGGUCACGCACCCCAGUCACAGGGUUCUCCUCCUUCGUUUGA